UUAAAAAUUCAUGCCAUCGAGUUGAUCUUCUCUUAGCAUUCACUUCUUUGUAGGUCUUUGAAAAACUUUUGAAGUGAAACACAUCGUAACAAUGAGCAUGAGGCCCAUGGUAGCUUUCGUCACCUUGUUGGUCGUAUGUGCUACAUUAGAAAAGGACAAAAAUCAUGGGCUCAACAGCUCGGCCUUGAAGGACGUCAUCCAAUCAGUUCGAGAGAGCCGUUCAUGUGGUGACAGGUUUCCCUUCCAAGCCUGUAGCAUAACUCGGCGUGUGCGUGCUCACUGCAAAAAGCUGUACUACAAAAUUGGCUGCAAACGAAUGUGCGGAUUCUGUUGAUGAUAUUGAACUGGCGAGACUGGUGUGAGCCAAGAUGACAAGCCGGAGUGUCCUUUAUGAAGCGAUUAUUUCAUUCGUACACAAUGUAUCUGUUAAAACAUUCUUCAAGGGCAAUAAAAAUUUGAAAAGUGAA